AACGAACGCUGGCGGCAUGCCUAACACAUGCAAGUCGAACGAGACCUUCGGGUCUAGUGGCGCACGGGUGCGUAACGCGUGGGAACCUGCCUUUUGGUUCGGAAUAACAGUGAGAAAUUGCUGCUAAUACCGGACGAAGUCUACGGACCAAAGAUUUAUCGCCGAAAGAUGGGCCCGCGUAGGAUUAGGUAGUUGGGGGGGUAAAGGCCUACCAAGCCGACGAUCCUUAGCUGGUCUUAGAGGAUGAUCAGCCACACUGGGACUGAGACACGGCCCAGACUCCUACGGGAGGCAGCAGUGGGGAAUAUUGGACAAUGGGCGCAAGCCUGAUCCAGCAAUGCCGCGUGAGUGAUGAAGGCCUUAGGGUUGUAAAGCUCUUUUACCCGGGAUGAUAAUGACAGUACCGGGAGAAUAAGCCCCGGCUAACUCCGUGCCAGCCGCCGCCGUAAGAC
rnacentral:rRNA from 1 species